rnacentral:lncRNA from 12 species
AUGAGGAGGGCCCUGGAGGACUACCUAAGGAGCUCUACCGAUGUCUCCUGGAGUUCUGGGGGUAGGGGAGGGAGACAAAGGGACCCAUAUGACCUCACAGAACGGAGAGUUGUUCACAGUCAUUGGAGCAGGUAUUUGGAACAGCCUCUGCUUCCAAGAGCUGGCAAGGCAAACACACACGAACCAGUCUUCCUGUUGGCAGAGCGGACCUACUUUCCCAGAUCGGGGUCAGGGCAAGACAACUGCCGCCCCUUGCCUGCACCUUGCUGUCACCCUCUGGUGAGCCAUCACCACACCAUGAUGUGCCUGGUCUGCGGCUUUGUCGGCAUAGAGACCUGGGCAGCCAGAGAGUGGUUAUCACUCUCAUGUUCCAGCGGAGAAAACAAGACGAGUUGUUCCACCCCAGGAGCACACGGAAAGCGCAGGCCUGGGACCAGGACACAGUCCAUUGUACCUUCCUGGGAGCACAGCUGUGUGUGCAGAGCCCUGGCACAGUUGUGCGUGACUCUGCAUAGCAGGCCUUGGAGUGGCAGAGGGGGACUCUUGAGAGAGAGAAUAGGUCCAGUGACAAGUUGGUGA